CUCCUGGGUUCAAGCGAUCCUCCCACAUCAGCCUCCUGAGCAGCUGGGAUUACAGAGAACUGUUAUUGGGGGAUGGCUAAAUACCUCCAAUGGGCAUUGCUCACAUUUGUGAGCCUCUUACCUCAGGAGAACACCAAGUUUGGAGAAAACUCCGGGAGAAUCUUUGGUUUUGAAAGGAACCAUCGUGACCAAGCACCAUCUGAAGAACAGGCAGUCCUGGUCUACCACAGUGCAAAGAAAGGAUCCAGAUGCAGUUUGUCCUCUCCAGCUGCAUAUGAGUGGCGAGGUUUCCCCAGGUGAUGGGGAAAAUGACCAAACCAGGCAGAGGAUCGACUACUCUGUUUUGAUACUCCCUUCCCCACAACAUACACACUUUUGAGUUUAUCGUUCAAAUUCCUAUUUUAAUUCCUGCCAUUUCAUAAACA